rnacentral:misc_RNA from 1 species
AGGAUCAUUACUGAUGAGAGUGAAAACAGUCAGUCGGUCUCUGAACGGGCACCGGCUCCUCCGGUUUUAAAAGUCUCGCGCCCGAUUCGAGCGGAACCAUGUGAGGGAUGAAAUUCCCGGUCGGUCUCCUCCGGAGAAACGAUUUUUUAAACGAAUGAAACGAAAAGAAAAAAAGAAAUCCUAAACGGUGGAUCACUCGGCUCGUGGAUCGAUGAAGGACGCAGCAAACUGCGCGUCGAAUUGUGAACUGCAGGACACAUGAACAUCGACGCUUCGAACGCACAUUGCAGCCCACGGAUUCUGUUCCCGGGCUACGCCUGGCUGAGGGCCGGCAUUCAAGUUCGCCCCUUCGCGGGUAUGCUGGGGCGAGGGACUCCCGCUCGACGGGGAGUCGCCGCCCUGAUGAAUAAACCUUCGACGGAGGACGGGUGGGACCCGCCGUCGUCUCCGUCGACGCGACGCUUUUCUCACGAGACGGCGUCAGCGACGGAGCGAAGGCCGCGUCCGUUAUUCGCUCUCCUCCUCGAAGGGAUUUCCAAACGCCGACCUCAGAGCAGGUGAGACCACCCGCUGAAUUUAAGCA